CCGUACCUGGAAGGCAUCCAAAUAACCUGUUAUUUUUAAAUAUGUGACAACAUCGUAUGAACAUUGUUGACCCAUUAUUAUAUACUGGGAGCGAAUAAUGACUUUAACUUGGGUUUUAUAACUUCUAAGAAGAAGCUUAUCACAUUAAUUAUAAUUUUAUAAGGAUGGAUACUUAUUGUCGGGCAACUAAGUCAGUCAUUGAAACGAGAAUUUAAAUUUGACUAAAUACUUCUUUUGAAUGUAUACCGCAAGAAUAAAUUAAUUUGUCGCUACACAAAACAUAUGUAUUUUACGUAAAUCGUUAUACUUACCCGUUGGCGGCCAUAUUGUUACAGUGGAUGCAACUUCAAUGUCGAGUCAAACUGAAAGUGAGAUCAUACUCUGUAUUAGCUUGUAAACACAUGUUUCGGGAACUUACAUUAACGACCGUAAUAUUCGGUGACGUGUCAGAUAAAUGCGGUGUGAAGUUUGACAUGAAGCAGGGCGUCUCCUUGAUGGAGGUGCGAGGGUAGUCAGGCCCCCAGCCCUUCACGAACGACAGACGGACUAUACACAGCCUCCGAAGAUCAUCCACGCCGAUUCCAGCCGCCGCUGACAAACCUGAUUGUUACAGAUUAUUUGAGCUGCAGCCUGCGCUGCCGCCGCCGCCUGGGCUGUAGCCGCCUGCGUUUGCAUCUGACGGUGACACUGACGGAGAUCGAACACCUGGAAAAUACAGCGUCUCCCGGGGCCCGGCCUGCCUCUCUAUCCAAGUAGUAGGACUGCACAAACACCGAGUGAUCUGAGAGACAUCUCAGCCACACGUCUCCUUCACCACGGAGAUCCAACUGUACACCCUUGCCGAUGUGGAGUCUGGGAAAUAUUUAAUGUAUACAAUGAUUUUAUAUGAAAAAAAUUAUAAUGAAAUUUGGGAACUUGAUAUGAUAACCAGAUACAUAACCUUACUGUAGCCCCAUACAUAAUGUUUAAUAGAAUUGGCAUAUAUGAACUUGAAAACAUAUUUUUAAUUUUAUAUCAUUGUGUGUUAUUAUACAUUUAUUUAUACAUAAAAAAAUUAAUAAAGCAACUUUAUUCAUACUUAUGCUAUAAGUUACGUGAUUCAAACUCAGAAACAAAUCAUUUUUAAUUUGUGUAUUAAUUUGCGUUGCAAAAUUCCAAUGAGGUUUAGUUAAAAAAAAAAUUAUAGUCUUAUAUUAAAGUAUAUGGUACAAGUGGUGCCAUCUAGUAUUACCUUAGGAGUAACUCUUGAGAAAUAUUACAAAAUAUGUAGCCUUUAUUUUGUGGGAUUUGUCUAAAUGGUUUUUCGACUUACUUAAUAAUAAUAUUAAUAAUGAAGAAAAAGUUUAACUAGUGGUUAAAAAUUA